rnacentral:rRNA from 1 species
CCUACGGGAGGCAGCAGUGGGGGAUAUUGCACAAUGGGGGAAACCCUGAUGCAGCGACGCCGCGUGGGUGAAGAAGCGCCUCGGCGCGUAAAGCCCUGUCAGCAGGGAAGAAAAUGACGGUACCUGAAGAAGAAGCCCCGGCUAACUACGUGCCAGCAGCCGCGGUAAUACGUAGGGGGCAAGCGUUAUCCGGAUUUACUGGGUGUAAAGGGGGCGCAGACGGCGAUGCAAGCCAGGAGUGAAAGCCCGGGGCCCAACCCCGGGACUGCUCUGGGAACUGGGUGGCUAGAGUGCAGGAGGGGCAGGCGGAAUUACUGGUGUAGCGGUGAAAUGCGUAGAUAUCAGGAGGAACACCGGUGGCGAAGGCGGCCUGCUGGACUGCAACUGACGUUGAGGCCCGAAAGCGUGGGGAGCAAACAGGAUUAGAUACCCCAGUAGUC